GCAAUGUAAGUGUGGUAUUUGUUACUUGACAGUGUGUCAAGUUAAAAAUAGUUCAAAUUCUAAAAACUGUUACAAGAUUAUUCAUUUGGUUUCAACACGCUUCACGAUGCUGACACAAGUUGUCAUCCUUUUGUGAUUUCGAAUCACAGAAUUAAUGAGGCGCCAUUUCGGCACAUUUUAGAAUGGUUGUUGCUGGAGUUUGAUUGGCGUGAAAUGUUCAGAAGUGUUCAUGUUCAUUAUUGUGUUUUCAUUCCUGUCACUUCUGAGUAUUCUCAUUCUCAUUCCUAAUUUGAUGGUAUGUUGACUUAGUGCAGAUUUUGGAUGAAUUGUCAUCUUUUUUCCAGCUGCCUCUGUUGUCUGGGCCCAGAAGCAGAUGUCUGAGCGCUUUGAGUGAUUUAGGUUCAGAAGCCUGCACGUCAGAGAUAAAUUCAUUUCAUCUCCAUGGGGAGUGAACUUGUGAAGAGAAAUCUAUUCCUGUUCUGACUCUUCCUGCAUGAAGAAAGUGAAAAUCUGCAGGUCCCUUGCUACAUUAAGUGAUGAGAUGCAAUGAAGAUUUCUGCCAGAAAAUUAAUGAAGCAUGGCUCAAACUUCAGGAAGCCCCUACAUUUAACAUAUCAUGUAUCCAGGCCAUGGGGCACGAGACUGAGCAGCAGUAAGCAGGUGAUUUCUAAUUAACUUUUGGCAAUGAGAUAAUUUUACAAGGUUUAACAUGAUAUUGCAUCCAGUGCAUUAUAUAUUUGAAUUUUUGUUUAAAAGUAAUGGAAGCCUAGUUUUUUGUCGUUCUAAAAAAGAACUUGAUUCCAUGUUGUGACCCCCUCAAACCAGGUAAGUCACUGCUCUGGUAUUAUAAUAAAAAAGUUGUGUGUGUAUAUAUAAGUGUCUCCAGGGAUCUAGAUAAGCUGCACAGCAGAAUGAAGGAAAGGAAAUGUGGUUCUCAUUUACAAAUUAGAAAUGGCUUCUCCAAAGGGCAGAACGUAUCGGAUUCGUCUCCGGAUUUCAAACAGCUUUGUUUUACCUGAUCUAAAUCUGACUCUAAAAAAAGCAGAAAGCUUGUAGUACCUUGCAAUAGUGCUUGCUUUAUAUUUCUGUCACCUCUGUGCAUGGGAAUGUCUGUGAUUACCAAAGCCCAGUAUUGCUUCCACCCAAUCAGAGGCUUGCUGGAUGAUGCCUAGAUUGGCAAGUUGAUAGUUUCAUUUGAGAUGGUGCAAUGAGGACUUAUGCCAAAAAAUUAAUGAAGCAUGGCUCAAAUUUCAGACAGCCCCAACACCGUAAAUAUUAUAUAGCAAGGAGUAAAGCAGAGUAGCUAAGGCACCAAAAUUCAAAACACAAAGAAAGAAAAGUUUCUCAACCUAUUUUUGUAUCCUUCAUUCUCUGUAGAUUGUAUUUCUUAGUUAUGUUUGACAAUCAGUUUGACAGUCUGUAUGAUGGAUCCAAGAUUUGUAUCUAGUAUGCGGCUGUCAAAUCUUGCCAAACAGCUUUAGAACAACUUUUUCUUCCAGAAAAAAAAUGAAAUGUGGUUGCAAAGAAGAGAAAGAUAGAUUGCAAGGUGGAUAGUGACUACCACCUGUAAUUAGACAGUUAUUAACUAUAUUACUUUGGGUUUGCACUAGCAGAUUGCUCUUGGGGGACACACAAUUCAUCAAGGCAAGUGGAAGCCUCCUUUGAGUUUCUAGUUACCUGCAGGACAGUUAUGUCUUUCUUUUCUGGCCCUCUUAAGUCUACCAUGCCUGAUGCGCAACUCCUAACAGACUUUUGCUCAAGUGUAGUACUUCUCUAAAAUUGCUGAUAGACUUCUACAAGAUCAAUGGAAUUAAUAUGAACAAAGUAAUCAAUGUAGGUGUGAUCAAUGAGGGAUUUUGUCAAUGGGGAGUUAAUAUAAAAAGCAAGUUCAGCUUCCCCCGAUAACUGCUGCAUAUAUGUUUGGAUAAAGCCUACAAUAGGAAAGUUCUGACUGUGAGAAACUGAACGUUCUAGGCAGAGAUGGCAUAUUUGGAAAAGGAGUCUGUGACAGAACAAGAAUUUAAAAAGGUUUUGAUUAUGCUGAGAUGAAAAUGAAGCCAGAUGCGUUUAGAUCAAUUUAUGUGUGUUUACAAAUGGGACACUAGUGGCGGAUAAGUGCAGGGUUUUUUUUUUCUAUUAAUUUUUUUUUUUCAUUUAAUUCUU